GGAAGUGUGGCAGAGUGGUCUAAUACAUCGGUCUUGAAAACCGGCGAAUCGCAAGGUUCCGUGAGUUCGAAUCUCACCACUUCCGCCA
rnacentral:tRNA from 1 species